UACGUAGGGUCCGAGCGUUGUCCGGAAUUACUGGGCGUAAAGAGCUCGUAGGUGGUUUGUCGCGUUGUUCGUGAAAACUCACAGCUCAACUGUGGGCGUGCGGGCGAUACGGGCAGACUUGAGUACUGCAGGGGAGACUGGAAUUCCUGGUGUAGCGGUGGAAUGCGUAGAGAUCUGCAAGAAUACCCGUGGCGAAGGCGGCCAGCUGGGCCGGAUCCGACGCUGAGGCGCGAAAGCGUGGGGAGCAAACAGG
rnacentral:rRNA from 1 species